CAUGCAGUCGAACGGCAGCACGGGAGCUUGCUCCUGGUGGCGAGUGGCGAACGGGUGAGUAAUAUAUCGGAACGUACCCUAGAGUGGGGGAUAACGCAGCGAAAGUUGCGCUAAUACCGCAUACGAUCUACGGAUGAAAGUGGGGGAUCGCAAGACCUCAUGCUCAUGGAGCGGCCGAUAUCUGAUUAGCUAGUUGGUAGGGUAAAAGCCUACCAAGGCUUCGAUCAGUAGCUGGUCUGAGAGGACGACCAGCCACACUGGAACUGAGACACGGUCCAGACUCCUACGGGAGGCAGCAGUGGGGAAUUUUGGACAAUGGGCGCAAGCCUGAUCCAGCAAUGCCGCGUGAGUGAAGAAGGCCUUCGGGUUGUAAAGCUCUUUUGUCAGGGAAGAAACGGUGGACUCUAAUACAGAUCACUAAUGACGGUACCUGAAGAAUAAGCACCGGCUAACUACGUGCCAGCAGCCGCGGUAAUACGUAGGGUGCAAGCGUUAAUCGGAAUUACUGGGCGUAAAGCGUGCGCAGGCGGUUUGGUAAGACAGAUGUGAAAUCCCUGGGCUCAACCUAGGAAUUGCAUUUGUGACUGCCCGACUAGAGUGUGUCAGAGGGGGGUAGAAUUCCACGUGUAGCAGUGAAAUGCGUAGAGAUGUGGAGGAAUACCGAUGGCGAAGGCAGCCCCCUGGGAUAACACUGACGCUCAUGCACGAAAGCGUGGGGAGCAAACAGGAUUAGAUACCCUGGUAGUCCACGCCCUAAACGAUGUCUACUAGUUGUUGGGUCUUAAUUGACUUAGUAACGCAGCUAACGCGUGAAGUAGACCGCCUGGGGAGUACGGUCGCAAGAUUAA
rnacentral:rRNA from 1 species